AUUGAACGCUGGCGGCAUGCUUUACACAUGCAAGUCGAACGGUAACAGGGAGCUUGCUCCGCUGACGAGUGGCGAACGGGUGAGUAAUGCAUCGGAACGUACCGUGUAAUGGGGGAUAACGUAGCGAAAGUUACGCUAAUACCGCAUACGCCCUGAGGGGGAAAGUGGGGGACCGCAAGGCCUCACGUUAUACGAGCGGCCGAUGUCGGAUUAGCUAGUUGGUGGGGUAAAGGCCUACCAAGGCGACGAUCCGUAGCGGGUCUGAGAGGAUGAUCCGCCACACUGGGACUGAGACACGGCCCAGACUCCUACGGGAGGCAGCAGUGGGGAAUUUUGGACAAUGGGGGCAACCCUGAUCCAGCCAUGCCGCGUGAGUGAAGAAGGCCUCGGUUGUAAGUA
rnacentral:rRNA from 1 species